UACGUAGGGUGCGAGCGUUAAUCGGAAUUACUGGGCGUAAAGCGUGCGCAGGCGGUGAUGUAAGACCGAUGUGAAAUCCCCGGGCUUAACCUGGGAACUGCAUUGGUGACUGCAUUGCUGGAGUAUGGCAGAGGGGGGUGGAAUUCCACGUGUAGCAGUGAAAUGCGUAGAGAUGUGGAGGAACACCGAUGGCGAAGGCAGCCCCCUGGGCCAAUACUGACGCUCAUGCACGAAAGCGUGGGGAGCAAACAGG
rnacentral:rRNA from 1 species